rnacentral:rRNA from 1 species
AUUGAACGCUGGCGGCAGGCUUAACACAUGCAAGUCGAGCGGGGGAAGGUAGCUUGCUACCGGACCUAGCGGCGGACGGGUGAGUAAUGCUUAGGAAUCUGCUUAUUAGUGGGGGACAACAUCUCGAAAGGGAUGCUAAUACCGCAUACGUCCUACGGGAGAAAGCAGGGGAUCUUCGGACCUUGCGCUAAUAGAUGAGCCUAAGUCGGAUUAGCUAGUUGGUGGGGUAAAGGCCUACCAAGGCGACGAUCUGUAGCGGGUCUGAGAGGAUGAUCCGCCACACUGGGACUGAGACACGGCCCAGACUCCUACGGGAGGCAGCAGUGGGGAAUAUCGGACAAUGGGGGGAACCCUGAUCCAGCCAUGCCGCGUGUGUGAAGAAGGCCUUAUGGUUGUAAAGCACUUUAAGCGAGGAGGAGGCUACUCUAGUUAAUACCUAGGGAUAGUGGACGUUACUCGCAGAAUAAGCACCGGCUAACUCUGUGCCAGCCGCCGCAGUAA